rnacentral:lncRNA from 1 species
ACUAUGAAUAGGAGGGUACCUUUCACUGUGUGGAUUGUUAUUGAAAUCUAAGGUUUAUGCUGCUGAAUGCUGUACAGAAAACCUGGAUAUAGAAAUUAUGGAAGGAUACAGGUUUAUUUACAAGUUUUGGCCAGUACUGGAGAGAGGGAAAUUCUCCAUCUUGUCUUGCCAAGUGUUGUAAUUUAUAGAAAAGCUGCACCAAAAACCAUGGGAUCUAUAAGUGUAUUGAAUAUGGGCCUAAAUGACCAGAAUUGUGCUAAGUCUUUCUCCAGGUGCCCGGGCUAGGGCUCUGGGGCUAGCUCCCCUCACUCAUUGUUGAUCUAUCUUGGAGGAAUUCUAAUUCCCAAGGCUCCAUCACACAUUUCAAGGAAAGAGACACUGACCUGCUACCGUUUUCUAGAAAAAUGGUAAAUGGGUUGUGGUUUCUGAGCUUUCUUUAGGUAAAAAACAAACAACCAAGCAUAACCAUGACAGCCAUAAGUUUUGAAACUGAUUGGAUUGCAAUGUGGAAUCUGGGAAGGGAAAUUUUAACUUUAAAGAUUAUUAGUUCAUGAGCUCUUUCUAACCACGUCUCUAAUUGAAAAGACUGUUAUUAAAUUUAUGGGUCCUCCCUGCCUCCCUUUUUGAGAAUGACUUGGGUGCCCAGACUGGUAGUGUAGCCUGCCUGCCUGCCUGCCUUCCUUCCUUCUUUCCUUUCUUUUUUGGCAGUUUUUAUGGUUUUAUUUAAACACAAAACAUGCACACAGGCCAUCUAUUCAUUUUCUUCGCUGCAUAACCUGGCGUUGGGAUUGGUGACUCUGAUGGCCAGCUGUGCUGCUCUUUCUACAAUGGCUUCUCGGUUCUUAGAGGUCACGUUGUGAGCAAUCUCAGCACAGUAAGAUUUGUUGCACAUCAGCAGCACCUCCAGCUCCUUGGCAUUGUGGAGCAGGAACCUGGUUUUCUUGUUGCUCCCGUAUCCAAUGCUGGGCACCAGGAUCUGGCCCUUGAAUCUUGUCUGCACCCUGUUGUCAGUGCCUCUGGGUUUCUGCCAGUUACACUUAAUUUUCACAUAUGGGUCUGACUGGUACCUGAUGAACUUUUAGGUCCUCUUUUUGAUGAUCUUGGGCUUCACCAGAGGCUAGAGGGCAGCCAUGAGGCCUUUUAUAAAAGUCAGACCCAUGAUAGUAAAGAAACUGGGAGGUGGGGCUGCGUGUCUCAGGCCUUGAGUGACAUUGCAGAGUGUCUUCCAAUCACCAGCUAGUGAGCAGAGCCAACUGGGAAUGGAAGAGAUACCUCUGCUAGGCUUGUUCUCCCUCCUGUUUCCGAAGCUGGCAGAGUACUAGCUACUCUCCAGUAGUGCAGUCUUUCCUUGAACUGUUUCUGUUUUGUUUUUCAGAUCAGUCAGCCUUUUCCUCAUGGCAUAUGAACAGUUAUUAGGUUUUUAUUGUGCACCUGGUACCUUUAAGUUAUGCUUUUUCAUCCUUAUAACAGCUCUUCUGCAUAGGUGGUGCCACUUCCACCUUACAGAUUGAAGAUUGAGGCUGCAAGAGACUUGUAAAGAGCAGAGUCGGUUGUUGGGUAGAGUUGGGUUUGAAUCCAGCUUUGUCUCAGUCAAAGGCCCAGGCAUUUUCCAUUACUUCAUGUAGCUCUGUCUCGAAACCAUAUGUUCUCUGAAGGCUGUGUGAAAGUGGGCUUGCCUUCUUAAUAGAAAACCGCACCCACUGCAUUGGGCCUCCGUGAAGAUACUAAAAUUAGGGUAGUGUAUAUAAACUAGUUGAUGAUUUGUGGCUUGUGGUUAGACAGUGGUAGGACCACCACUUGAUGUUCUGUCUUUAUUCAGUCUGACCAUACUUUGGUAAAGCUUAAAGCAACAUGACAGGGGCAGGGCUUAAGUCACAGGUCUUAGGGCUUAGUCCCACCAGACUGCCAUUUACUUCAGAGGCCAGAUGCAAGUUCCAGGUCCCCAGACUGCCAUCACCUUUCCUCAGCUUGGCUGAAUGUUCAGAGGUUCCUGCAGUCCUUCCCCCUAGGUUGCAUAAUUUACUGUAAUGAUUCCCAGGUUAGGCAUAAUGGAUUGAAUUAUUGGCCAUGGAUGGUCAAUCUCAAGCUUUAGUAUUUUUUCUGUUCUUGGGGACAUAGGAUAGGGCAGAAAGUUCCAGCUUUCUACUUAUAACUUUUCUUCUUUCCCACUUUGGAAAUUACCUUAUCUACAAACAAAAAAACAUUCAUCUUAAUUUGAAAAAGAUUUCUUUUUAUUUUAUGUGUAUGAGUAUCUUGAAUACAUGCAUGUCUGGACACUAUGUGCAUGCCUAGUUUCCAAGGAGGCCAGAAGAGGGCAUUGGAUGCCCUGAACUGGUUGUGAGCCACCUUGUAGGUUCUCUGGAAGUACAGUAAGUGCUCUUAACACCAGAGCCUUCUCUCUGAUCCCCUAAAGACAUUCUUAUCACCUCAAAGGUUUCCCAGAAGUUUUAGGAGCUCUGUAUCAGAAAUGUGGGGGUAAAGACCAAAUACCUAUUAUGUCAUACUAUGUAAAGUCAGUAAGCUGUGCUUUACAGUUUUCAAGUUCUACUGUUGUGCUCAACUCUGUUGUAUUUGUAUUUUGAAAGAAAAGACUAUCCAUUGUAUAACAUAUGUUUGACUGGUGGUGAAGCUGUAAAAAAAUGUUAGAGAAAGUUACCUAUGUCCCUUAGCCGUUGGCAGUCAGCUGUGGUUUCAUAGAAGAGUUGCAUUUCUUUUACUGUAAAAGUGACUCGUUAACCAAAGUUACAUAAACGUUAAGAAAUGUUCAUGUAUCUGGUAAAGUUUUACUUUGUGUGUGUGUGCAUGAGAGUAUUUUGUGUAUGCAUUCAGUGUGCAGGUGCACAGUUGUGGAGGCCAAAGGAGGAAAUUGGGCACACUCUUCUAUCACUGUCUCAUUUUCUUGAGACAGACAGGGUCUCUCACUAAACCACAAGCCAAUGAUUUUGGCUAGGCUGCCUGGCCAGCAAGCUUCCAGAAUCCACUUGGUUCCACCCUCUGACACAGGGGCUGUGGUCUCAUACAGACAUGCCUGGCUUUUUAUGUGUGUGCUCGGAAUGUCAACUCAGGUUCUUAUGUUUACACAGCAAAUGCUCUUACCCACUGAGCCACUCUGCAGCCUGUGAAGAAGUUUUGACAGACCUCCCAUUACCUUGACUUAGUAACAUUGUCAGAGCUACUGCCAUGCUGCUGUCACCCACCCCUGUUGGCUCUUUACUAUUUGUCUAGUUAUUACUGUCCUUGGAGACUUGUGCAAAUAACUACAAAUAUUUUAGUUACUAUAGUUUUAAAAGAUAUUUAUUACAGCCUACUGUGCUUAGCAUCGGUAGGUUGGUUGGAUUUCAAAGUUUACUUGGUUAGUAAGUUCAUAGAUCUUUAAAGGAGAAUGAUAGUGAAAUCAUUAAAUUGCUUUUUUUAGACACUGUUGUCUCCAGCUGAAGAGUUGAACCCUAUGUGGAGCUGGUGCAUAGCUCUAAGGGCUCUUCAAACAGGAAAUUUAGUAAGUGUAGUAUUUUGUUCUUGCCCAGUGCACCUUUGUCUCUAUAGCCUUUGAGGACCAUUUAUUGAAAGAACUUCCCUGCUGGAAAGUGAGUCUAUAGGCAGCUUACCUGGUGCUGUCAGCUCUGAAGAGCUUUCAUUUAAGCCUGGCUGUCUGCAGAGCAGUGACUGCAGGGGGACACCAACCGUGUGCAGCAGCUUCUGCGUUGAUUGUUUCUUGGCCUUUGGAGCAAGAUUUGCUUAUUGAGGCUCUACAGGUUGCAACCCAGAUCAUAGUCUUAUUUUCCCUUCUGAAGUUCAAAUUCCCUGAGACCAGUGAAUCACUCCUUUAAUAUAAUCAGUAGCAGUCUCAGACCAGAGUUAAGCCAAGAUAGUUAGGAAACACUACUGGCCAAAUCCAGUUCUCAUAUAGGUUCUCAGGCAGUAGCAGUUGCUUGAUCGCUGGGGACAUUUGUGCACUUUUGAUGGUGCUACCAGCAUCUGAUGUGUAAAGGUAAUUGAUGACAAAGGAUUGUCAGCCCCAAGUGUCAGGUCCAAGAUUGAGAAACCCUGGUCCGUGGGAAACCAUUGUCCAGAUUGGAUUAUUUUUCCUCAAACUUGUCUAGACCUGUUUCAUUGGAGAAUAGCCCUACUUUGUUUUCAAGCAGUACUGGAUAGAGUGAAGCAAGAACCUUCUAAAAGAUGUUGGCAUACAGUUGCAGGAAUGGACUCUAGAGCCAGCUUAAGGUACUCAGAUUCGGAUGACCUCCUGUUAAAAGGAGAGUAGUUUUAACCCACGUGAAGUGUCUCAUGCCUGUGCUUCUAGUACUUGGGAGGCUGAAGCAGGAUGAUCACCUGAGCUAAAUAGUGAGCUUCAAAACAAACUAGCCUGUGCUACAGGGCAAAGACCCUGUC